UACGUAGGGGGCUAGCGUUGUCCGGAAUCAUUGGGCGUAAAGCGCGUGUAGGCGGUCCGGUAAGUCCGCUGUGAAAGUCGGGGGCUCAACCCUCGGAUGCCGGUGGAUACUGUCGGGCUUGAGUACGGAAGAGGCGAGUGGAAUUCCAGGUGUAGCGGUGAAAUGCGUAGAUAUCUGGAGGAACACCGGUGGCGAAGGCGGCAUCCUGGACCGGCAUUGACGCUGAGGCGCGAAAGCCAGGGGAGCAAACGGG
rnacentral:rRNA from 1 species